UACGAGGGGGGCGAGCGUUGUCCGGAUUUAUUGGGCGUAAAGAGCUCGUAGGCGGCUUGUUGCGUCAGCUGUGAAAACCCGCAGCUCAACUGUGGGCUUGCAGCUGAUACGGGCAGGCUUGAGUUCGGUAGGGGAGACUGGAAUUCCUGGUGUAGCGGUGAAAUGCGCAGAUAUCGGGAGGAACACCAGUGGCGAAGGCGAUCACCUGGGGUUGUUCUGACGCUGAGGAGCGAAAGCUAGGGGAGCAAACGGG
rnacentral:rRNA from 1 species